CCUUACCUAUUACUAGCUUCACUUUCUCUGUCAGGACUCUGUCUUUGUUCACCAGUGGUCCCUUUUUUCCCUGUGACGGAGCAUGUUGUCAUUUUUUCUAAGGUGGAAAUGGAGUCCAUCACAGUUCUGAGUAACAUAAGUGUAUGGAAUUGAAAGGACAUAAGGGUUGAUGAUGACAAGGUGAUGACACAAAGGAGCUUCCAUUGCCUUUAUUGCAACUAGGACUGACAAUAAUGUCUGCAAACCCUUCUCCAAAUAUUAAGUCUUAUUCUAUUACAACAUUGCCACCUGCCAGCAACCAAAUAUCUGUUUAAAAAUAUGUUGUCAAUUUUUGUAAAUAGAUCAUUUUGUCAAAAUAAAGAUUAAAAAAAUCUGCCACCACAUUUGUGUGUAGCCUAUAUUGCCUUUAUGCAGAUUUCAAAUGUAUUUAUAUAAUUUAUCAUUGGAACCAAAGUACACAUUAUCACACUUGUUGAUGCACAGUAAAGCCAAAAGUUGAUGUUUACGCAAACAUUAGCCUACUUGUGGUUUGGUAACAUGUGAUCCACAUGUUGAAACUAUUGCAUUAUAUAUGACAUUUCUCACAUGUGCUUUAUGUUAUAACAUGUUCCACAUGUGCGCUAUUAUGUUGCAGCAUGUGGUGAGAUG